rnacentral:rRNA from 1 species
AUUGAACGCUGGCGGCAUGCCUUACACAUGCAAGUCGAACGGCAGCGGACCUUCGGGUGCCGGCGAGUGGCGAACGGGUGAGUAAUAUAUCGGAACGUACCUUUCAGUGGGGGAUAACGUAGCGAAAGUUACGCUAAUACCGCAUAUUCUGUGAGCAGGAAAGCAGGGGAUCGCAAGACCUUGCGCUGAUUGAGCGGCCGAUAGCAGAUUAGCUAGUUGGUGAGGUAAAGGCUCACCAAGGCGACGAUCUGUAGCGGGUCUGAGAGGAUGAUCCGCCACACUGGAACUGAGACACGGUCCAGACUCCUACGGGAGGCAGCAGUGGGGAAUUUUGGACAAUGGGCGCAAGCCUGAUCCAGCCAUGCCGCGUGAGUGAAGAAGGCCUCGG